GGGGAUAUUGCACAAUGGGGGGAACCCUGAUGCAGCGACGCCGCGUGGGUGAAGGAGCGUUUCGGCGCGUAAAGCCCUAUCGGCAGGGAAGAAGGAGGACGGUACCUGACUAAGAAGCCCCGGCUAACUACGUGCCAGCAGCCGCGGUAAUACGUAGGGGGCAAGCGUUAUCCGGAUUUACUGGGUGUAAAGGGGGCGCAGACGGCAGCGAAAGUCUGGAGUGAAACGCAUGAGCUCAACUCAUGCAUGGCUUUGGAAACUGGAGGACUGGAGAGCAGGAGAGGGCGGUGGAACUCCAUGUGUAGCGGUAAAAUGCGUAGAUAUAUGGAAGAACACCAGUGGCGAAGGCGGCCGCCUGGCCUGUUGCUGACGCUGAGGCACGAAAGCGUGGGGAGCAAAUAGG
rnacentral:rRNA from 1 species